rnacentral:rRNA from 1 species
ACUCAAAGGAAUUGACGGGGGCCCGCACAAGCAGUGGAUUAUGUGGUUUAAUUCGAUGCUACGCGAAAAACCUUACCAGGGCUUGACAUGGAGACGACCGCCGUAGAGAUACGGUUUCCCCUUCGGGGGCGUCUCACACAGGUGGUGCAUGGUUGUCGUCAGCUCGUGUCGUGAGAUGUUGGGUUAAGUCCCGCAACGAGCGCAACCCCUGUUGUUAGUUGCUACGCGAGAGCACUCUAGCGAGACUGCCGUUGACAAAACGGAGGAAGGCGGGGACGACGUCAAAUCAUCAUGCCCCUUACGUCCUGGGCUACACACGUAAUACAAUGGCGUUUAACAGAGGGAAGCAAUGCCGCGAGGUGGAGCAAAUCCCUAAAAGGCGUCUCAGUUCGGAUCGCAGGCUGCAACCCGCCUGCGUGAAGUCGGAAUUGCUAGUAAUCGCGGAUCAGCAAGCCGCGGUGAAUACGUUCCCGGGCCUUGUACACACCGCCCGU